rnacentral:snRNA from 1 species
GCUUGCUUUGGCAGACAUAUAUUUAAAUUAGAAUGAUUCAAAGAAGAUUAGCAUGGCCCCUGUGCAAGGAUGACAUGCAAAUUCAUGAAGCAUUCUUUAUUUUU